rnacentral:rRNA from 1 species
UACGUAGGGUGCGAGCGUUGUCCGGAAUUAUUGGGCGUAAAGAGCUUGUAGGCGGUUUGUCGCGUCUGCUGUGAAAAUCCGGGGCUCAACCCCGGACUUGCAGUGGGUACGGGGCAGACUAGAGUGUGGUAGGGGAGACUGGAAUUCCUGGUGUAGCGGUGGAAUGCGCAGAUAUCAGGAGGAACACCCGAUGGCGAAGGCAGGUCUCUGGGCAUUAACUGACGCUGAGGAGCGAAAGCAUGGGGGAGCGAACAGG